AAGAGCCGUAUGAUGGGAGACUAUCUCGUACGGUUUUGUGAGAGGGGAAGGUUGGAACUCCCCUUUUCCUACUCGAC
rnacentral:ncRNA from 2 species